rnacentral:lncRNA from 1 species
GGCUCUUGACCCCCUUACUUCUUGACCACUUCAAACAUAUCAGCGUCGUCGCCCAACGUCUGUCAUCCUUGUCCCUAAGGUCAUACCUGUUCUUGAGGUCAUUGCAGACUCUCCUCCGACGCCUCCGCCAUCACCGGAUCCGAUCCUGCAACCUGAGUCCGAUCUUCCGAUUUCCCUUCGAAAAGGUAUACGUCAAACACGAAAUCCUUCUCCACAUUAUAUUGAUUUAUGUUAU